UACGUAGGGUCCAAACGUUGUUCGGAAUCAUUGGGCGUAAAGGGUACGCAGGCGGUUUUCUAAGUCAGUGGUGAAAAUCUGAGGCUUAACCUCAGAACUGCCAUUGAUACUGGGAGACUAGAGUUGUAAUAGGGGUGGCGGGAAUUCCAAGUGUAGGAGUGAAAUCUGUAGAUAUUUGGAGGAACACCAAUAGCGAAGGCAAGCCACUGGUUAACGACUGACGCUCAGGUACGAGAGCUAGGGGAGCAAAUGGG
rnacentral:rRNA from 1 species